CCUCCUCCUAAACACAAACCAGUAAGGACUAAUCCCAAUUCAAUCCUCUUCAUAAAUCUUGACAUUUAAUAAGAUUUAUAUGUGGAAUUCUUUAGGUCUUGCAUCAACAUAAAUGACAAGAUAAUCAGUCACUACCAAGGGCGAUGAUGGCAGCCACUGAUCUCGCGUGUUUGCAGGAUAAGGAAGGUUUGAUGAAGCUGUUGACGUUUGAGAUGCGAUCAAGAAACGAGUGGAGAAGAAAGCGAUGGUGUUCGGGCAGGCUCCAAGAAAAUGGCAGCAACCUGCAAUGGUUUCUCAAAUUUGUUCAAGUCGACUACCUUCUUCGUCGUCUCGAUUGAUCAACAAUUUUCCCCAUUCCUCUGCUUCUGUCUUCAUCAACUUCAACUACUCCAUCGACCACCAUUCUUUCGUUCUUAAUUAUUUGAGUGUACCUUUAGUGGGAAGAGUUAAUAAAAUCUAGUAUAUUUGCCCCACAAAGUUUGC